AUUUUGGCACAAGAUGCUGAGUAAUGGAUAUAUGAGUGAGUAUAGAGAUGAACAGAGAAUGGGAUGAGUGGAUGAGAAUGGUGUGUAGAAUAAUGAAAGGGCAAGUGGAUGGGUGUGCAAAUAGAGGAUGUAUGGAUGAUGGACAGAUAGAGGGAGGAAAGGAUGGAAUGUUCCAUAUGUAAAUUUAUUAAUGACUCAGGAGAAAAUUUGAUAAGAAAUAGAAAUAUAGCUUCAAGAGACAUAUAUUAACAGAAAUAAAUUGCAAUCUUUAUAUUUAUGCACAUAUGUAUAUGCAGAUAUAAACAUACAUAUGUAGAUUUAGUCUAUAUAUAUCAAAAUUCCUAUAGCAUAUUAGAAAACAGCAUACUUUAAAAGCAUUGCAUAUAUUUUGAAAUAUGGACUGAAAACAUCUUUUGUAGAGAAAAGUGUUAAUUUUUAUCAUUGUUUUGUAUGUGUGGAAUAUGUACAAAUGCUUGUGUAUGUAUCUGUGUCUGUCUGUCUGUCUGUCUGUGUGUGUGUGUGUGUGUGUGUGUGUGUGUGUGUGUGCCUAUGUGUGUGAAUGCACACAUCCAUAUGUCAGGUUCCCAGGCCUAUCACCCUUAGCCUUAUUCUCUUGAAAUAAGAUCUCUCAAAAACCUGGAGCUAGGAUGGUCACUAGAGAUCCCUAGCAGUCCUCCUGUGUCCCCUCUCCAAUGCUCUGGUGACAGGCAUGUGUCACCUGGCUUCUCACGUGGUGCUUGGAAUUCAAACUCAGGCCCCUGACAUUAUUCAGCAUUCUUGCCCAUGGAAUCAUCUCCCCAAGCAAAGUGGAAAUUUCUCUGUAAUUUUUAUACAUCCAUGAAUAUUCUCGGAGCAUGUAAUGGUGUGCGGUCACAUCUAUGUGAACAUGUUUAUAUGUAUGGGGGGUAUGUUUGUCAGAGGUCAUAGAUGUCAGAGGUCAAUCUUAGAUGCUGUUCCUUAGGAGCCAUUUUCCAUGGUGGUGGUUUUGUAAAAAAUUUUAAAUUUUAUCAAUUUUAAAACAUUUGUAUGUCACCUGUGCAUGCUUGUGUAAUGCCAUGGUGCACAUGCAUGGGUCAAAGGACAACAGAGGGAACUGGUUCUCUUCUUUCAUCUUGAUGGACUCAGCUUAUCAGACUUGAUGGCAAGUCCCUUUGCUUGUAAAUAAUCUCACCAACCCCUGCCAUGUUUUGGAGAUGAGUAACUCAUUGGGAAUAGGCCUCUCCAACUAGGCCUGCCAGUGAAGUCCAGGGAUAAACUCAUCUCUAGCCCCACAGUGUAGGGGUUAAAAGCACACACUAAUAGUGCUUGGGUUUUUCUGUGGGUUCUGCCGAUCAGACAUGGGUCUCCAUACUAGUGCAGCAGGUGCUUUCCAGGCAGAGCUGUGCCUUCAUGGUGGACAUGAACAACUUCCAUAUUGAACGUCCCUUGGAAGAUGCAAACUCCUUUUAUUUGGAAAUGACUUCUAAUCACCUCUUUACCCCAGAGCUGAUGGAGAUCAGCAUAGAUGCCACUCUAGAUUUCCAUGCUACCCCUUGCCCUGAAAUCAUACAGGAGGAUUAAGGA
rnacentral:lncRNA from 1 species